rnacentral:lncRNA from 1 species
GGACAGACGAGCAGAAAGGGGUGGGUGCUGCUACGUUAGACCGGGAGCCCCUCCUCUCCUGCCCAAAGUACUUGCAAUGUUUGUUCAAUGUGCUAGUGUUGCUGGGCAAAAACAUGGGCUUCCUUCCGCCUCCGAAGGAUCCUGGCACCAAUGCCAAGAGCCCCACCUGUCUCCCAUGGGCCCCACAGGGGAGGGGCUCUGCCCUUGCUGGGCAAGGCAGUGUCUCUGUAAGUCCAACAAGCCUGGGAUGAAUAUUUUUCCAACCCCAAAGGAACAAAAUCUCAGCCAGAGGGUAUGGGUGGGCAGGAGGUGCAGACCGUGAGGGUUGGAUUUGGCUGCUUAGGCCUUGGUGCCUGCCUCUGAGGAAGCCUGGAUUUGUAAAGCAGUUAGGCGUUUACAAAGGGCUUUCACAUACCAAACGCAUCUGAUCCCUUGGCUUACAGAGGGGAAGUCUGGGAUCCAGAGAGAGGACUACCUGGGAGAGCGAGGAGGAGGCCAGGUCUCUUCACUCCAAGUUCUAGGCUAUGCUCGUCUCAACUAGCCAGGCCAGCCCAGCACAGAUGCAGCCAGAGUGGGUGCCAGUCCUCUGCACCCCAGGGCAAGGGGGAGGGGGCCUCCUGCCCCCCUCCUCAGCAAAGGGAGAAGGAGGAAGCUGCUUGGCUCCCCUUCUGGUCUCAGUACCCACAGCCAUCUCAAAGCACCCAGUGUUUUUACCCACCCACCUGUCAGGUAAGCAUGAGCAGGAGGAAGCCAGGUUUGCCCCAUGCUCUGACCUAGAGACCUUACACUGGCUUCUCCUGGGCACCCACCAGAGGCCUGUGCCCAGAAGGGACAGGAUCACUCCCCACCCUGCUCACCAUCACACCUUUGCAAAGGCUGCAGCAGGAAGACAAGGUGGACGGCAGGAGGGGAGCGUUGGCUGGGGGGAAAGCCUCUCUAGGCCACCGCAGCCCCAACCUGGAGAGAGCCCAUGGCUCCCCUGCUGGGGAGGCCCCAGUACCAGCCUCGGUCCCUGCCCAAGACAGCUCGCUUUGCACGAAGGAAAGAUCUCAGCCACCAGCCCGCUCCCUGGAGCCACCCCACUCCAGCCAGCUAACACACACUGUGGGAGGGCGGUUCGGGUAGCGGUUCCCCCACCUUCCCGAAGGCCGAGGCGGACCAGAGGGCAUCGGAUUGUUCCUAGAUUUUCAGCUGGACCCACGCGGUGAGUUCGGAAUCACUGGUACGCGGUUGGCUCCCGUUGCUGUGAGAGGCUCCAAAGAUGGGGAGGCGUUUGUCUUUCUCCACACGACUCCAGCCUCCCCGCAAGGCCGGCCGGCCAGCCUCCGGUGAAGGACGUCAGGGUUCCCAAGCUCCCAGGAAGAAUUAAUAGGCCUCUGUUUUCCACGGCGGAGCCUCACAGGGUCGGGGAACAGGCCUGUCGGGGAAGGGGGCUCCGUGCGUGUGGAGGGGCUUCCGCGAGGGCGCCCGGCACCUCCGCCCGGGCCGACGCAGGCGAGAGGACGGGCCGCCCGCCUCAGUAAGGCCGCCCGCGUAGGGAAGGCCGCCUGCCUGGGGAAGCCGCCCGCCUCGGGAAGCCGCCCGCCUCGGGAAGGCCGCCCCGCCUGCCUGGGGAAGCCGCCCGCCUCGGGAAGGCCGCCCCGCCUGCCUGGGGAAGCCGCCCGCCUCGGGAAGCCGCCCGCCUCGGGAAGGCCGCCCGAGGCCGCCCGAGUCGGGAAGGCCGCCGGCGGCAGCGCGGAAUUCAGGUGCGGUUUCAUCCGGAGGUUCGCAAUGUCAUCAGGCUCUUGGUUUCAUUUUUCUGUGAUUUUCUUGGCUCAGUUUGGCCCUGCGGCCUAGCUUCGCCCACAGACUCACUUCCCUCCCUGUGGUAAAUGAGCCAGGGCACUUCCAGGGCCCAGUCACCCGGCUGCUGCGCCCGCCGACCUCAGCCUCUGCCCCUGCC